GGGUGUGCGGCCCGCUUCCAGGAGCCUGCGGGCCCGGCGCACCCGGGCGUCGGUGAGCCAGGUGUGCGGUGGCAUGCCGUACGCACCCU
rnacentral:tRNA from 1 species